rnacentral:rRNA from 1 species
ACCCUAUAGAGUUUUACAUUUUUUUUGAUUAUAUAAUAUUUUGUUUGUUUUGUUAAUUUAAUUGGGAUAAAUGUUUUGUUGGGGUGAUGGGAGGAAUUAUUUUAACUCCUCUUUGGUUAUAAGUUGUAUAUUUAUUUAUAUUUGUUUUGAUCCAUUUAUUUUGAUUAUAAGAUUAAAUUACCUUAGGGAUAACAGCGUUAUCUUCCCUGAGAGUUCUUAUUGGCGGGGAGGUUUGCGACCUCGAUGUUGGAUUAAGGUAAAUUUUCGGUGCAGGAGCUGAAUUAUUAUUAGGUCUGUUCGACCUUUAAAACCUUACAUGAUCUGAGUUCAGACCGGCGUGAGCCAGGUUGGUUUCUAUCUAUAAUAGUGUUUUAUAUCUUAGUACGAGAGGACCGGAUAU